UCGAGUAAGGCGAGGCACGUGAAACCUUGUCUGAAUAUGGGGGGACCAUCCUCCAAGGCUAAAUACUACUGACUGACCGAUAGUGAACCAGUACCGUGAGGGAAAGGCGAAAAGAACCCCGGAGAGGGGAGUGAAAUAGAUCCUGAAACCGUAUGCGUACAAGCAGUAGGAGCAGACUUGUUCUGUGACUGCGUACCUUUUGUAUAAUGGGUCAGCGACUUAAUGUGUCGAGCGAGCUUAAGCCGAUAGGUGGAGGCGCAGCGAAAGCGAGUCUGAACAGGGCGUUUCAGUUCGACGUAUUAGACCCGAAACCCGGUGAUCUAGCCAUGAGCAGGUUGAAGGUGCGGUAACACGCACUGGAGGUCCGAACCGAUUAACGUUGAAAAGUUACCGGAUGAGUUGUGUUUAGGGGUGAAAGGCCAAUCAAGCCGGGAAAUAGCUGGUUCUCCGCGAAAACUAUUGAGGUAGUGCCUCGGAUGGACACCCUAGGGGGUAGAGCACUGGAUGGAU
rnacentral:rRNA from 1 species